GCUCCAAUAGCGUAUAUUAAAGUUGUUGCAGUUAAAAAGCUCGUAGUUGGAUUUCUGUUAAUAAUUUAUAUAAAAUAUUUUGAUGAAUAUUUAUAUAAUAUUAACAUAAUUCAUAUUACUAUUUUUUUUAGUAUAUGAAAUUUUACUUUGAGAAAAUUAGAGUGCUUAAAGCAGGCAUAUGCCUUGAAUACUCCAGCAUGGAAUAAUAUUAAAGAUUUUUAUCUUUCUUAUUGGUUCUAAGAUAAGAAUAAUGAUUAAUAGGGACAGUUGGGGGCAUUUGUAUUUAACAGUCAGAGGUGAAAUUCUUAGAUUUGUUAAAGACAAACUAAUGCGAAAGCAUUUGCCAAGGAUGUUUUCAUUAAUCAAGAACGAAAGUUAGGGGAUCGAA
rnacentral:rRNA from 1 species